AGUGAACGCUGGCGGUAGGCCUAACACAUGCAAGUCGAACGGCAGCACAGUAAGAGCUUGCUCUUACGGGUGGCGAGUGGCGGACGGGUGAGGAAUACAUCGGAAUCUACUUUUUCGUUGGGGAUAACGUAGGGAAACUUACGCUAAUAACGCAUACGACCUACGGGUGAAAGCAGGGGAUCUUCGGACCUUGCGCGAUUGAAUGAGCCGAUGUCGGAUUAGCUAGUUGGCGGGGUAAUGGCCCAGCAAGGCGGCGAAGCGUAGCUGGAGUGAGAGGAUGAUCGGCGGCACGGGAACGGGGACGCGGUCCAGGCGACUGCGGGAGGCAGCAGUGGGGAAUGUUGGACAAUGGUGGGAAGCCUGGUACAAUCAGACCGCGCGGGUGAAGAAGGCCUUCGGGGUGUGAUGCCCUUUUGUUGGGAAAGAAAAGCAGCAGCUUAAGACCCCGCUGUUCUGACGGUACCCAAAGAAUAAGCACCGGCUAACUUCGUG
rnacentral:rRNA from 1 species